rnacentral:rRNA from 1 species
AUUGAACGCUGGCGGCAUGCUUUACACAUGCAAGUCGGACGGUAACAGGCCUUCGGGUGCUGACGAGUGGUGAACGGGUGAGUAAUGCAUCGGAACGUGCCCAGAGGUGGGGGAUAACGCAGCGAAAGCUGUGCUAAUACCGCAUGUGAUCUGAGGAUGAAAGCGGGGGACCAGGCAGCAAUGUUUGGCCUCGCGCCUUUGGAGCGGCCGAUGUCAGAUUAGGUAGUUGGUGGGGUAAAGGCCUACCAAGCCGACGAUCUGUAGCUGGUCUGAGAGGACGACCAGCCACACUGGGACUGAGACACGGCCCAGACUCCUACGGGAGGCAGCAGUGGGGAAUUUUGGACAAUGGGCGCAAGCCUGAUCCAGCAAUGCCGCGUGCGGGAAGAAGGCCUUCGGGUUGUAAACCGCUUUUGUACGGAACGAAAAGGCUCUGGCUAAUACCUGGGGCUGAUGACGGUACCGUAAGAAUAAGCACCGGCUAACUACGUG